UGGCGGACGGGGGAGUAAUGUCUGGGAAACUGCCUGAUGGAGGGGGAUAACUACUGGAAACGGUAGCUAAUACCGCAUAACGUCGCAAGACCAAAGAGGGGGACCUUCGGGCCUCUUGCCAUCGGAUGUGCCCAGAUGGGAUUAGCUAGUAGGUGGGGUAAAGGCUCACCUAGGCGACGAUCCCUAGCUGGUCUGAGAGGAUGACCAGCCACACUGGAACUGAGACACGGUCCAG
rnacentral:rRNA from 1 species